CUCCAAUUCCACGACAGGGCCACCUUCUUUGCACACACACUAAACAAAUCAAAAAGGGUGUCUUUCUCACAUGAGGGUCCUGGGAGAGCAAAGAGCUGAUCCAUCUCAUCCGGGAGACAAACAGAUGGGACGUGUGUGGACCUAAAGACUGACUACACUGAGAGCUGAGAGCUUCGGUUAGAGUGUGAGUCACUGCAAUCUGCUGCUUUGAAAUCCACAUAGUAAACAUUUAUUGCAGCCCUGCCCAUGCCAGGUACUGCGCUGGGUGCUGGGUGGGGGAGAGGAGAUGACUAAGGCUGGUAGAGCUGAGGCUGGGGACGCAGUGAGAAGCCAAAUCAUGCACACAGGGCCUUGGAAACCCAGUUAAGGGGACUGGACUGGACUCACUGGGAAGUUAGGGAAGGCUUUUAAACCACCGGGGAAUGAUAUGUUCUGAUACCAUCAUUUUGCAUCCCCUGGGGUAAUAAACACUAUGUCAUUAGCACCAUUAACACCUUAGUGUGAAUUAGGUAAUCAGAUGAAGUGUCACCUUGCAAAAGGCUGAGAUGUGGGACUGAUAAGUUUUGAUGCCAGAGGACUGGAGCCAGGAAGAGGCGGCACCCAUGGCCACUCAGUGGGGACAGGGGAGGAGGGAACAGACCCGGAAGGAACCUGGGUGCUCAGUGAUCACACCAUAAGCAUCCUACACAUAUGAUUCAUGCCUGUAGAUAUUUACUAAGCUCCUUGGCCCUGGGCAUUGUGGAGAACAAAAGAGAUGGUCCCUGCCCUCUAAGGAAAGACAGACAGUAAACAAACCAUCAACUAGAUCUGUAACUACAAGCUGGGGUAAGGUCUCGGAAGGAAAAGAACAGGGCUCUAGGAAAAAGUGUAUCAGGGAUAUAAUUAAGAUGGACGGGCAACCAGGAAGGGUCUUAGAUGAUAGUUAAGCUGAGACCUGACUCACAAAGCAGCUGGAAACUCCAGAAAGAGCAUCCAAGGCUGAAGGGAUAGCAUGUGCCAAGGCCCUGAAGAGGGAAACGUAAGAAGGCCAGGAGAGGGCAAAGGGCCCAGCUAGGGGCAGAGGCUAGAAAGGCAGGCCAGGGUCAGGUCCUGUGGCCUUGGACUCUAAUCUUCAAGGGGACAGGAAGCUCCUCAACAAUUUUCAUAGAUGUACCAGAUGACAGUCUGUCAGUUUUUGGAGGUCACCCUGGCAGCGGGUGGGAAAUGGGUCCAGCAGGUAUGGAGGUCAGCGAGGACGGAAGCUGGCCCCAGAGGCUCCCGAGUGGGAUGGGAAGGCAGUGGAGAGAGGGCGGGGUGUGGUCCCAGAUGUUCUA